rnacentral:misc_RNA from 1 species
GUGAGAUUAUUCGCCCACAUUACUAAUUCCGAAAGAUUUGGAAGGUUCCAUAUCUCCAGUGGGAUCGAACCAACCAAGUUAUUGAAGCUGAGAUCAAUCUUCCUGAGGUUCCUACAAUGUCCAAGCUGUUUAGGCACAGUUCCAGUAAGAUAAUUACUGGCUAAUAGCAUCGUCUCCAGUGGAAAGCCUGAGGCUGCAAAGCAAAACUCUGAAGGUACAUUCCCGAUAAACGCGUUGGAACUGAGGUCGAGCACCUGAAGUUUUGUACAGUUUACCAAAGACUUUGGUACAUAACCAGUUAUGUUAUUGAAUGGCAAGUAAAGAUACCUAAGAUUUGUCAAUGAACUGAUAACAGUAUUCAAGAAAUCACCCGAUAGCUCAUUGUUACCAAGGUUGAGACUGAAAAGUGAGGAACACAAUUUAAAAGUUGAAGGAAGUUCACCAG